rnacentral:piRNA from 1 species
UGAUAUGCAGAAUAUCUGAUAUACGGUCC